CCUACGGGAGGCUGCAGUGAGGAAUAUUGCGCAAUGGGGGGAACCCUGACGCAGCAACGCCACGUGUGGGAAGAAGCAUUUCGGUGUGUAAACCACUGUCGAAAAGGAAUAAUAGAAGAUUUCGGUCUUUUUGAAUGUACUUUUAAUAGGAAGCACCGGCAAACUUCGUGCCAGCAGCCGCGGUAAUACGAGGGGUGCAAGCGUUGUUCGGAAUUACUGGGCGUAAAGGGAGCGUAGGCGGAGCUUCAAGCAAUCUGUAUAAUCCUGGGGCCCAACCCCAGUCCUGCAGAUUGGACUGUAGCUCUUGAAUAGUUCAGAGGCAAGCGGAAUACCUGGUGUAGCGGUGGAAUGCGUAGAUAUCAGGUAGAACACCAAUGGCGAAGGCAGCUUGCUGGGGACUUAUUGACGCUGAGGCUCGAAAGUGUGGGUAGCAAACAGGCUUAGAUACCCCAGUAGUC
rnacentral:rRNA from 1 species